GCUUACGGCCACACUCCCUGAGCACGCCCGAUCUCGUCUGAUCUCGGAAGCUAAGCAGGGUCGGGCCCGGUUAGUACUUGGAUGGGAGACCGCCUGGAAUACAGGUGCUGUAAGCC
rnacentral:rRNA from 1 species